rnacentral:rRNA from 1 species
GAAUUUUAUAUAUAUAAUUUUAUUGGUUUUUUUUAAUUUUUAAGAUUAAAUAAGUUAUAAUAUUUGAUUGGGAGGAUCAUUAAAUUAGUUUAACUUUAAUAAUUAUAAUACUAUAAUUAAAGGAAUUUUUUUAGAUUAAUAUUUAAUUAUAUUAGAAUUAAUUACCUCAGGGAUAACAGCGUAAUAGUCUUAGGUAGUUCUUAUUAAUAAGAUUGAUUGC